AGCCGGGGAAUUAGCGGCUCCCUGUACCUGAAAUCCGCUAUAGCAGGGGUGAUGUUCUGUUGCGGGCACUUGUUUGACAUUGCUGCCCGGUUUGAAUGACGUUGAGAUUUGGGUCUUGCGCAAUAGAAAUCUACGAACCAUGUCAGGUCGGGAACGAAGCAGCAUUAAGUGGAACCUUCUAUGUGACGCAAGGGCGCCUGGAUUGAGUUGUUUCUU
rnacentral:SRP_RNA from 1 species